rnacentral:rRNA from 1 species
GAUCAUGGCUCAGGAUGAACGCUAGCGGCAGGAUUAACACAUGCAAGUCGAGGGGCAGCGGGGGUAGCGAUACCCGCCGGCGACCGGCGCACGGGUGAGUAACGCGUAUGCAACUUGCCUAUCAGAGGGGGAUAACCCGGCGAAAGUCGGACUAAUACCGCAUGAAGCAGGGAUCCCGCAUGGGAAUAUUUGCUAAAGAUUCAUCGCUGAUAGAUAGGCAUGCGUUCCAUUAGG